rnacentral:rRNA from 1 species
UACGUAGGGCGCGAGCGUUGUCCGGAAUCAUUGGGCGUAAAGAGCUCGUAGGCGGCCUGUCGCGUCUGCUGUGAAAUCCCGGGGCUUAACCCCGGGCGUGCAGUGGAUACGGGCUGGCUGGAGGCAGGCAGGGGAGAACGGAAUUCCCGGUGUAGCGGUGAAAUGCGCAGAUAUCGGGAGGAACACCGGUGGCGAAGGCGGUUCUCUGGGCCUGUACUGACGCUGAGACACGAAAGCGUGGGUAGCAAACAGG